CCCCCGCCCCCGCCACACACACACACACACACACACACAGCAGUACGUUCUUCCAGCAGAUUGUAUUUAACGAGCCGAUGACAGCAGGUACAAAAGCAGCCAAUGAGGAAAAUGUUUCACAGUAUGAAGAGAAUACACUCCAGU